rnacentral:rRNA from 11 species
CUAUUCUGCCGAAAUACCCCCAAGGCAUCAGAUCCCAUCUGAUCUUGGAAGCUAAGAAGUGUCAUCCCAUAUUAGUACUUAUAUAGGAGCCUGUCAAUCGAUGCCAGGUGCUGUAGGCU